rnacentral:rRNA from 1 species
UACGUAGGGUGCGAGCGUUAAUCGGAAUUACUGGGCGUAAAGCGUGCGCAGGCGGUUUUGUAAGCCAGAUGUGAAAUCCCCGGGCUUAACCUGGGAAUGGCAUUUGGGACUGCAAGGCUGGAGUGCGGCAGAGGAGACUGGAAUUCCUGGUGUAGCAGUGAAAUGCGUAGAUAUCAAGAGGAACACCAGUGGCGAAGGCGAGUCCCUGGACAACACCUGACACUGAGGCACGAAAGCUAGGGGAGCAAACAGG